CAUACGCGUGAGAAUCUGCCUUCAGGAUGGGGACAACAGCCGGAAACGGCUGCUAAUACCCGAUAGGCUGAAAAGUGAAAGAUUUAUCGCCUGAAGAGGAGCUCGCGUCUGAUUAGCUAGUUGGUGGUGUAAGAGACUACCAAGGCGACGAUCAGUAGCUGGUCUGAGAGGAUGAGCAGCCACACUGGGACUGAGACACGGCCCAGACUCCUACGGGAGGCAGCAGUGGGGAAUUUUCCGCAAUGGGCGAAAGCCUGACGGAGCAACGCCGCGUGAGGGAGGAAGGCCUUUGGGUUGUAAACCUCUUUUCUUAGGGAAGAAGCAAGUGACGGUACCUAAGGAAUCAGCCUCGGCUAACUCCGUGCCAGCAGCCGCGGUAAUACGGAGGAGGCAAGCGUUAUCCGGAAUUAUUGGGCGUAAAGCGUCCGCAGGUGGACUUUCAAGUCGGCUGUCAAAGGCCGUAGCUUAACUACGGUAAGGCAGUGGAAACUGAAAGACUAGAGGCCAGUAGGGGUAGCAGGAAUUCCCAGUGUAGCGGUGAAAUGCGUAGAGAUUGGGAAGAACAUCGGUGGCGAAAGCGUGCUACUGGGCAGGA
rnacentral:rRNA from 1 species